GUGAGGAAUUUUCCGCAAUGGGCGAAAGCCUGACGGAGCAAUGCCGCGUGAAGGAUGAAGGCCUAUGGGUUGUAAACUUCUUUUCUCAGAAAAGAAUUAUGACGGUAUCUGAGGAAUAAGCAUCGGCUAACUCUGUGCCAGCAGCCGCGGUAAGACAGAGGAUGCAAGCGUUAUCCGGAAUGAUUGGGCGUAAAGCGUCUGUAGGUUGUUUAAAAAGUAUUCUGUCAAAGAUUAGGGCUUAACCCUAGAUAGGCAGAAUAAACUUUUAAGCUAGAGUUUGGUAGAGGCAGAGGGAAUUCCCGGUGGGGCGGUGAAAUGCGUAGAUAUCGGGAGGAACACCAAAGGCGAAGGCACUCUGCUGGGCCAAUACUAACACUGAGAGACGAAAGCGAGGGGAGCAAAUGGGAUUAGAUACCCGGGUAGUCC
rnacentral:rRNA from 1 species